rnacentral:piRNA from 1 species
UGUAGUUAUAUGAAAAUGUGGGUGUAUUGAA